AGAUUGAACGCUGGCGGAAUGCUUUACACAUGCAAGUCGAGCGGCAGCGCGGGGCAACCUGGCGGCGAGCGGCGAACGGGUGAGUAAUGCAUCGGAACAUGUCCAUGUCGUGGGGGGAUAGCCCGGCGAAAGCCGGAUUAAUACCGCAUACGCCCGAGAGGGGAAAGCCGGGGACCGCAAGGCCUGGCGCGAUUGGGUGGCCGAUGUCCGAUUAGCUAGUUGGCGGGGUAAUGGCCACCGAGGCGAUGAUCGGUAGCUGGUCUGAGAGGAUGAUCAGCCACACUGGGACUGCGACACGGCCCAGACUCCUACGGGAGGCAGCAGUGGGGAAUUUUGGACAAGUGGGGGCAACCUGAUCCAGCCAUUCCGCGUGAGUGAAGAAGGCCUUCGGUUGUAAAGCUCUUUGUCCGGAACGAAACGGUAGCGUGAAUAUCGCUGCCUACGUCGACGGUACCGGAAGAAUAAGACGACCGCUAACUACGUGACCAGCAGCCG
rnacentral:rRNA from 1 species